rnacentral:rRNA from 1 species
CCUACGGGAGGCAGCAGUGGGGAAUUUUGGACAAUGGGCGCAAGCCUGAUCCAGCAAUGCCGCGUGCAGGAUGAAGGCCUUCGGGUUGUAAACUGCUUUUGUACGGAACGAAACGGUGAGCUCUAAUACAGUUUGCUAAUGACGGUACCGUAAGAAUAAGCACCGGCUAACUACGUGCCAGCAGCCGCGGUAAUACGUAGGGUGCGAGCGUUAAUCGGAAUUACUGGGCGUAAAGCGUGCGCAGGCGGUGAUGUAAGACAGAUGUGAAAUGCCCGGGCUCAACCUGGGACCUGCAUUUGUGACUGCAUCGCUAGAGUACGGUAGAGGGGGAUGGAAUUCCGCGUGUAGCAGUGAAAUGCGUAGAUAUGCGGAGGAACACCGAUGGCGAAGGCAAUCCCCUGGACCUGUACUGACGCUCAUGCACGAAAGCGUGGGGAGCAAACAGGAUUAGAUACCCUGGUAGUCCACGCCCUAAACGAUGUCAACUGGUUGUUGGGUCUUCACUGACUCAGUAACGAAGCUAACGCGUGAAGUUGACCGCCUGGGGAGUACGGCCGCGAAGGUUGAAACGUUAAAGGAAUUGACGG